AACGAACGCUGGCGGCAGGCCUAACACAUGCAAGUCGAGCGAGGACUUCGGUUCUAGCGGCGGACGGGUGAGUAACGCGUGGGAAUGUGCCCUUCUCUACGGAAUAGCCCUGGGAAACUGGGAGUAAUACCGUAUACGCCCUAUUGGGGUAAGAUUUAUCGGAGAAGGAUCAGCCCGCGUUGGAUUAGGUAGUUGGUGGGGUAAUGGCCUACCAAGCCGACGAUCCAUAGCUGGUUUGAGAGGAUGCUCAGCCACACUGGGACUGAGACACGGCCCAGACUCCUACGGGAGGCAGCAGUGGGGAAUCUUAGACAAUGGGGGCAACCCUGAUCUAGCCAUGCCGCGGAAGUGAUGAAGGCCUUAGGGUUGUAAAGCUCUUUCAGCUGGGAAGAUAAUGACGGUACCAGCAGAAGAAGCCCCGGCUAACUCCGUG
rnacentral:rRNA from 1 species